GUAACAAGGUUUCCGUAGGUGAACCUGCGGAAGGAUCAUUACCGAGUGAGGGCCCUCUGGGUCCAACCUCCCACCCGUGUUUAUUUACCUUGUUGCUUCGGCGGGCCCGCCUUAACUGGCCGCCGGGGGGCUUCCGCCCCCGGGCCCGCGCCCGCCGAAGACACCCCCGAACUCUGUCUGAAGAUUGCAGUCUGAGUGAAAAUAUAAAUUAUUUAAAACUUUCAACAACGGAUCUCUUGGUUCCGGCAUCGAUGAAGAACGCAGCGAAAUGCGAUACGUAAUGUGAAUUGCAAAUUCAGUGAAUCAUCGAGUCUUUGAACGCACAUUGCGCCCCCUGGUAUUCCGGGGGGCAUGCCUGUCCGAGCGUCAUUUCUGCCCUCAAGCCCGGCUUGUGUGUUGGGCCCCGUCCCCCGAUCCCGGGGGACAGGCCCGAAAGGCAGCGGCGGCACCGCGUCCGGUCCUCGAGCGUAUGGGGCUUUGUCACCCGCUCUGUAGGCCCGGCCGGCGCCUGCCACCAACCCAAAUUUUUUAUCCAGGUUGACCUCGGAUCAGGUAGGGAUACCCGCUGAACUUAAGCAUAUCAAUAAGCGGAGGAA
rnacentral:misc_RNA from 1 species